UAAAACGAUCUUUUUGUUUUGUCAACAACAAUACUAUAGAGGCCCACAUGAAGUCAAAUACGUAUCUAUGUGUGUACAAAUGUAUACAGAGAUAAUGAAAUGUUAUUCUUUCGAAUGUGAAAUGAAACUGACCGCCAAGAAACUUGAUUUUCCCAACAGUUUCUUCCCUCAAGAAUCGCUUUAACACAUUAAAUAUCACUGAGAAUAUUUUUGGAGCUGAAAUAGGGAGAGAAACAUGUCAAUGGAAAAACUGAAGAGUCUGCAAAUAAAAAUAAUUUAUAAAUGUCAGUGAUAAAAAUAGUAAAACUGAUGAAGGUUAAA
rnacentral:sRNA from 1 species